rnacentral:rRNA from 1 species
AUUGAACGCUGGCGGCAUGCUUUACACAUGCAAGUCGAACGGUAACAGGUUAAGCUGACGAGUGGCGAACGGGUGAGUAAUGCAUCGGAACGUGCCCGAUCGUGGGGGAUAACGCAGCGAAAGCUGCGCUAAUACCGCAUACGGUCUGAGGAUGAAAGCGGGGGACCGGAAGGCCUCGCGCGAUCGGAGCGGCCGAUGUCAGAUUAGGUAGUUGGUGGGGUAAAGGCUCACCAGGCCGACGAUCUGUAGCUGGUCUGAGAGGACGACCAGCCACACUGGGACUGAGACACGGCCCAGACUCCUACGGGAGGCAGCAGUGGGGAAUUUUGGACAAUGGGCGCAAGCCUGAUCCAGCAAUGCCGCGUGCAGGAAGAAGGCCUUCGGGUUGUAAACUGCUUUUGUACGGAGCGAAAAGGCUCUCUCUAAUACAGGGGGCUCAUGACGGUACCGUAAGAAUAAGCACCGGCUAACUACGUGCCAGCCGCCGCUGUAA